GGGGAAGUAUGGUUGCAAAGCUGAAACUUAAAGGAAUUGACGGAAGGGCACCACCAGGAGUGGAGCCUGCGGCUUAAUUUGACUCAACACGGGGAAACUCACCAGGUCCAGACAUA
rnacentral:ncRNA from 1 species